rnacentral:rRNA from 1 species
AACGUAGGACACAAGCGUUAUCCGGAGUUACUGGGCGUAAAGGGCGUGCAGGCGGUUUCUUAAGUCAGGCGUGAAACCACCCGGCUAAACCGGGUGUAGUCGUCUGAGACUGGGAGACUAGAGUGUGGUAGAGGCGUGUAGAAUUCCGGGUGUAGUGGUGAAAUGCGUAGAUAUCAGGAGGAACACCGGUGGCGAAGGCGGCUUUCUGGACAGAAACUGACGCUGAGGCGCGAAAGCUAGGGGAGCAAACAGG